rnacentral:sRNA from 1 species
GGGGAUACCCACCGGCUGAAGGCCGACUGUGAUUCCCUCUACCCCCACAAGGCGAUUUUGACCUCCUGAGGGCUGCUCUAGAGGACUCAGGCCCCGAAGCUGUCCCAGGGAGGUCCCCGCUGCAUCCCAUCACCCAAACUGUGCCUCAUGGAGUCGAUGUUUAGCAGCCCUGCCGAGGCGGCGCUGCAGCGAGAGGCCGGGAUGCCAGGACUGCUCACUCCUCUUCCGGACCUGGACCGAGUGUUGCCUUGCAGUUCCCUGACCAGCUAUUGGGAGAUGCUGUGGCUGUGGCUGCACGACUGGAGGAGACGACAGGGUCAAAGAUGUUCAUUCUGGGUGACACAGCCUACGGCAGUGAUGACAGCAACUCGCCUCCAGAAGAAAACCCAUUUUUCUGAUGCUAUCUCCCUUGCAGCUGCUGCGUGGAUGUGCUGGGUGCUGAGCAAGCUGGAGCUCAGGCUGUCAUACAUUUUGGCCCUGCCUGCUUAAGCCCCCCAGCCCGCCCACUGCCCGUCACCUUCGUGCUUUGUCGACGUUCUGUGGCCUUGGAGCUCUGUGUCAAGGCCUUUGAGGCCCAGAACCCAGACCCCAAAGCGCCUGUGGUGCUGCUGAGUGAGCCGGCCUGUGCCCAUGCCCUGG